UCCUCCUCACGCCUCCUCCACGCAAUAACUUGUUGAACAGCUAAUAAACUGCCAAGCCUUGCUAUGCUGCUUGUCUUCCAGGCACUGCAUCCUGAGUCCCACCAUGUAGUUUGUCACUGAAGCUUGGCUSCAGUAUCUAGUGGCUGAGCAAAAUGGUCUGAGAUUCCUCCUCUCCAGGACAGCAUCUCAUGUAACAGCGGCAGUGGACGUGGCUCUGAAGCGCUGCUCGAGGACACCGCCCUGGGAUGGCCCUGUCACACAUUUCAAGGAUCAGGAGCACCACCAUGCACGUGAUUUUGCAGAUAUUUGAGCUGCCUUCUCAAACGCAUUAASUUGUUUAGAAGCUUGAAAGACUGAGACUGUAUCAAAGGCUCCGUCCCAUUUCCGUGUCCCUAAAAUGAGGACUAUUAAAUUUUCUACCUCAGAAGUGUGUCCUAAGGAUUAAUUAAAGCCUCAUUCUGACGUACAUUAAGAUUCCUUUGGAUGUUGGCAACAAAACGGAGCGCUUAAGUGGCUAGGAAUUACCUCUAUAGCAAAUGUACACCCACUUUCAGACUGCUUUCUAAACCCACAGUGAAAUGGAGGUAUUUUAUCGUCAGAUAAAUCAGAUCCAAGUAUCACUGACGCAUUCGGAUGCUUUGUGGGAGCUGUCUGUGCCUUUCAGAACUAGAU